CGACGGUGGAGGUGUAAGCCUGGGAUAUGAGUCUAGGGCCCUCUUCUGAGCAAGGAACUUUCCGAGGCAGCCUCCCAGCCACUGACUACCUGCGGUGUGCACCUGGCCCAGGCUCCUUUACACCCAGUCUCAGAGAAAGAGGUGGUUCCAGAGAAGGGGGAGAGCUGGGUAGAAGAGAGGUAGGACCUCUCUCUAGGAAGCAGCUGGCAGAAAGGGACCUGGCUCAUCUUCAUUUUUCGUGAGACUCAAGCCACCUGCUGUCUCUGUAGCGACACUCUGCUCGGGCUCUGGUCCACAUUGCGGAUGACCAGAUGGUCUCACUAUGUAUCCUUGGCUGGCUUUGGAUUCACAGAGACCUACCUGCUUCUGCUUCCUGAAUACUGGGAUUGAAGGCGUGUGUUGCCACACCUGUCUUAGGUUUCUCACUGCUGUGGAGCCACAGGAACUGGCAUCUGGAUGACAGCCACACAGGGGAGAAUGGCCUGGUGCUUCAUCAGGCCUCAUUCUUCUCAUCUGUGAAAUGGGUAGGAAAUAUGUGGUGAAAGUUUAAGACCACAUAUUGCCAAAGGCAGCAGGAAGGAAGGAAGCGGAGUUCAAGCUCCCUUACUGAUGGAAUCAGUUCAGCUUGAUAGACUUUUGGUUAACAUCCCUUUGGUGUGGGGGUGGGAAAGAGCUGGUGUUUGGUCAGCAGGAGGCAGGCUUCACCCUGCUCAGCUGGGGCCUAUUUACACCAUCUCUUGGAAUUUACCGUCUGAAAAAUGGGACAAUAAUGCUUCGCACCCUGGGGGUGUUAGUGUCUGAGAAGUGCUAAGUUCAGCUGCUGGCCCAGAGCUGGGACUCAUUAAAUAGUAGCUGCUAUUAUUACUAUUGAUUAUAUUAACAGCCGCCACAAAGCAGGCGGAGAGCAUGUCAGGAAGGUCUCUGCCUGUCGUCCUCAUUGUUUCUUGCUGAGAAGAUUUUGUGGGAGUCGGGUGUUCCAGAAUUAAUAUUCCUUUUCUCUGCUCGUCCACAUGCUGCAUUUGUCGCCUCGCAGAAGCCCCUCUGCCGGGCUCGGCAGCCUGCCUUGACCAGCCCACCUACACCAUUCAGGCCAGCUGGUGGAGGCUGACAUCUGCCAGGAAAGCAGACCACCUUCCCGGAUUUUCCGUUUGCAGAUGCAUGGAGGGUGAGCUGGCAGAGAAUGCAGAAAGCAAGCUCUGGCACAGGCUCUGGCUCCUGUCCAUGUGUUGGGCCAGUGGCUGCCAAGUAGCAGAUUCUCAAUGGGUCUACAGCAGGAAGCAUCCUCUCACUGGAGCACACAGGAGUCCCCGUCCCACAUAGCGAGGAAGCCAGAGUAGCAGAGAAGGACCAGGCAAAGGCACUAGCGUCUUCCUGGCUACAGACUUGUCCAGACUCUGGGGCUUAAGACCCUCAGACUUAGUCUACUCUGUAAAAUGUGAACAAAUAUGGGUUCAAAGCCCUUUAUCUGAUGUAUUUGGAUGUCUGUUAUUUGGAUUUCUGGAGAGUAGUGACAUACAGAGUAUAUUUUGCAUCGUCGAGUAGCUGGGUAGGGGUGGCAGCCUCUGAGCAAAUGCUGAUGUCUGCAACGGGAUAUGUGAAUGCCGACAUCAUAGAGACGUGCUGAAGAUGGUAUCACCAAAAACAAUCUUGCUCCAAAUUUCUGCAAAAACACUUGAUUCUGGAUCUUCUUUAGGUUUGGAGUUGAAGGUACAAGGCUGUGGACCUGUACAGUCUAAUAUUUUUGGAGUCCAAGCUCCUUCGUGUAGCAUCUAAGUUUGAUUCUUUUCCAGGACAACAAAACAACAUUUUGCUACCCAGUCACCUGUUAGGAGACAAUAGGGUCAUUUUCACCUUUGGCUGUUAGGAAUAAUGCUGCUGUGAAGAACUGUAAACAAGUUUUUGUGUGGACAUAUGGUUCCUAUUCUAUUGGGUAUAUUCCUGGGGGUGGAACUGCUGUGUCCAACGGUAACUCUGUGGUUAGCUUUUUAAGGAAAUGCUAGACAUCUCCCCUGGCUCACUCACAAACUGGCUGCACCGUUCUAUAUUUUCACCAGCAGUGUCUGAGGGUUCGAUUUCUCUACGUUAUUGUGAUUAGCUGACUUUUUUUUUUCUUUAACCAUAGGCAUCCUCCUGAAUGCGACCUGCUAUCUUAUCAGGAUCUUGAUUUGCAUUUCCUUGACGAUUACUCUUUAAGUGUGCACUGGCCAUUUCUAUCUUAUUUGUGAAAAAAAAAAUGUCUUUUCAGAUCCUUAAUUAUUUUUAAACUGACUCAAUUGCUCAUUAUUAGUUGCAAGUGUUCUUUGUUCUAGACACAAGCCUCUUGCCAUAGAUGACUUACAUGUGUUUCCACCCGCGCCAUGCAUUGACCUUUCACUGUUUUUAAUAUUUAUUUUUAAUUGUGUGUCUGGGUGUGGGUUUGUGCCUGUGAGUGCAGUACCUUCAGAGGCUGGAGAGGGUAUUGGAUCCCGGAGAGCUGGAGUUACAGGUGGUUGUGAGCUGCUAGACACAGAUACGGGGAACUAAACUUGGGUUUUAUUUAAGAGCAGCAUGCUCUCGUAGUCACUGAGCCAUCACUCCAGCCCCAACCUUAUACAUUUUGGAGAGCUCCCUUGGAAGCACAAAAGCUCAACGUUUGGAUAAAAUUCAAUUAAUUAACUUUUCUGUGGCUUUGCUUUGGGGCCCCUGUCUGAGAACCCAGUGUCAAAAUCAGGUUGUUAUGGGUUCAUUUAUGUUAUUUUCUUCCAAGAGUUUUUUAGUCUCAGCUCCUACCUUAGAUCUUACAUCCAUGAUAUGACUUAACAUUACAUUUAUUUAUUUUGCAUAUGGCUGGUGAUGUACAUGCAGUUUGAAGACCUCUGCAUGAGACUGUAAACCCUAGGAAGGCAGAGUUCAUAUGUGCUGUACUGAAGUAGGGAUGGUCUGGUGGGUGAACGGAACAGGGAGGACUCUCUAUAAUCCCAAGGCUGUAAUGAGGGUGAAUAUGCCACAAGUCAGAGAUCGGCAUCAGAUUAGAAAACAGUCUGGUACUGAUGCAGACCAGCCUGUCUUCUGGGAAAGCCUGUCUUGGUGCAGUGGAGUUUCUCCAAGGUCCUUUGGACAAACCCUUGAUUCUGAGCAGUCUAGUUACCAAACAAGGGCCUUGUUGACGUGAAAGAAUGUUUUCCUUUUGCACAGAGAUACAACUUGACUCCAUGCAUAAAGGGUCUCCAUCUCCUUCAGGCCACAGUUCUGCCCUCAAGGCCCCCACCCAGUUCUUCAGUUUCCUCCCUGCAGCAUGUCUUGGGCAGACGGAACAGCCAUCUCUAACAGGGUUGUUUUUUUUUUUUUUUAUCCCUUCACACCACGGUUGCUUCCCUGAAUCCAUUCAGAUGUCCCUGUCUACUCAGUGUCAUGGCUAGAGCCUGGCGGUCCACUGACUGUCAUCUUAGCAGCCAGUUUGAACCCUUGACUUAAGGAAAAAAAUAUAAACAUCAACUAUUUUUUUUAAAUUGACUCAAACACAUUGCUUGCUCAGAUCAGAUUUUCAACACUUAUUAACAAUAUAAAAUAAUCAAUGCAUUAUUUUAUUAUAAUUGGUAUUAUUAAUGAUGUGUUAAGACAUAGUAUUGAUAACUGCUGAACACUUCCUACAUGCCAGAGUCAUGCACAGUUUCUUGUAUGCAUCUCAUUUCAUUUUCUUCUUUUUUUUCUUUCAUUUCAUUUUCUAUAAGGCAGCUGUGAUUAUUCCCACCACUACAGAGAUGUGAGAGCCUCAGAGUUUAGGUAGUUAACUUGAGGCUAGAGCUUGGAUUUGAACCAGUGACACUUGCCUUCAGAGGCUCUGGUUUGGACUCUGCACUCUCCUGCCCUGCCUGCCCUGUACUACUCUUGUUUAGCCGGUAUCAAGCAUCACACUUUUGACAUCCAGGCUGCUCUAUUCCUGGCCUUUGACUCUCCCAUCUCAUAUAGCUGCUGUUCCUUCGGCAACUCCGGGCUCCCCUGUUUCCAGCUUGAGAAAACUCUAACUGGGCCAGGGAGGAACAGGGCUGGAGUCCUCUGUUUCUCACUCCAGCCUCUGCCAAGCCAAGUACCAAUCUUCCAAGAGGGCCUGAAUGGAAGCCCUAUCCAAUGGAUGUGUCUUGGUCCAGGUGCCUGCCCUGGAGGCCAGAGAAGAUGUCCCCUCCCCUACAGCACCUUCCUGCCUCUCUUGUGCAGUCUCUCCUGGGCAUGACAUGAAGGCCAGAGUCACCAGGGGCCUCUCUGCACAAAUGUCCCACAUCCUUCUGUGGCAUUCCUAUGCCUUCAGCCCAGCAGCCAUGCCAUAGGAGUUGGCUGUAUCCUGCAGAGCUCUUGGAGGGGGCAUGUACAAAGUGAAGAGAGUCUAAGAACGUGCCAAGGCUUCACACCUGCAAGGCCAAGUAGGCUCUAGGUUGUGGAGUAGCUGGUGGCUUUUUUAGUCAGUGCAAUUUGACCACUGAAAGGCAAUUCAUUAUAAAAAUCCGUCUAGAUAUAGUCUCUUGCUGCCUCAUUUAUUUGCUUGUUCAUUCAUUCAUUCAUUCAAACAUAUACUCUCUCAUUUAUCACUAUAUUCAGUCAUCUCUGUUCAUUGGCCCAGCACUUCCUCAUCCAUCCAUUUCCCCAGAUAUCUGCACAAGGCUACUUCCUUACCUCCUUGAAAGUUUUUCUCAAGCGGCAGGGCAGUGUUCCUGAGGUCCUCCACUCUGUUCAUCACCAUGGGAGACACCUGGCCCCAUUUAACUUUCUCUACACCUCUUCCUAACUCACUCUGUAAUUUACUGAUCUGUUCUACUCAUCAUCUGGCUUUGCUGAGGUGGCAGAAGCCUUUGUCUCUUGGUGUUAUUACUAGAUCCUUGAUGCCUAAAAUGGAUGGACAGAGUCUGGCCUAGAAGGGGCUCAAGAAAUGUACAUGGGAUUAAUGAUCCCACUCACUUAUUCACCAAAUCAGGCUUUGAGAGUCUGUUGGGAGACUCUUAAAGUUGCUUUGGAAAGGACUCAGGGUCCAAGCCAGGUAGUUAGGAGCCCGAGGACUGGGUGUUGUGCUAACAGACCUGUUGAUGGGUGAUGGGUAGGACAUUCCUGUGGUAGGACAUCUGGAACAAAGCAAGUGGGGAGACGCAGAUGGUUUGCAGAGCUGAGGCCUGUUGGCUGGACUUGGGAGUACUGAAUGUGAGGCUGAGGGGAGGAAGCUCAGGGAAGACUGAGGUUAGACGCUGGAGAGUCUGGAUGGAAAGUGAUGUCAUCUGCCAAGGAGAACCCUGAGAGCUUCAAAAGGAGAGGGAAAGAUGAUGGCUUCAAGACCUCCCUUUCAAACCCCAUUUUCAAUUACAAGUGGACCCACAGUGUUUGGAUUGCUAUUUUUCUUUUGAUACAUGUUCUUUGCCUAGUGCCACAGAGGAGGCGUCUGGCUACCUUAUCCAUCUCUGCCAUCUUAUUUCUGGGUGUCUGUGAAAUAUGGUUUCUCAGGCAGGCACACAAGGUGUCCCACAAUGGGAGACCCGCCCAUAUACGUUCACCAGUCAUGACUGGUGUGGGCCGUGGUGAACCUGGGACGUGAGACGAAAUGGUAGAGUCUGACGCUUGGACCCACGUAAUUCCUCUGGACUGUCUGCUUUAGAGCAUUAUAGAUAAGCCUGCUUUGAAAUUUUGAAUGAACAUCAGCCACAGCUCCAUGGCUAUGGAGCUAAUGUGAAACCACAGCCCGAAAGGGGUGUGUGUGGGGAGAGAGAGAGAGAGAGAGAGAGAGAGAGAGAGAGAGAGACCGAG